rnacentral:lncRNA from 1 species
AUGUAUCUGUUGGACUCCAGUCUGCCAUUACAGGAACUCAAAUCUUGGAGAACAUUUCAAGAAUCCAGCCUGGCUGUUCAAAUUAGAAUACAGUUCAGCCUUUCUACUAUCUUCAAAUAAAGUUGUUUUAACCUUCACUGAUUUAUGUUUUCUGGGUCCAG